rnacentral:misc_RNA from 1 species
AACUCUCAAACCGUCAUCUUUCAUCGGACGUCGGGUUUGGACUUGGAUGUUGCCGUGCUCUACCGCUCGGCUCGUCUCAAAUGCAUUAGCUGACUCUCCCGACUUCAGUUUUCGGCGUGAUAAUCACAUCUACGUCGAUGCCGUGAGGCGCUGGACCGGGCGACGAGCGGCUUCUAACCGUCCGCGAGGACAAAUUUUCAUCUCG